rnacentral:rRNA from 1 species
GAUGAACGCUAGCGGCAGGCUUAAUACAUGCAAGUCGAGGGGCAGCAUGAGUGUAGCAAUACAUUUGAUGGCGACCGGCAAACGGGUGCGGAACACGUACACAACCUUCCUAUAAGUGGGGAAUAGCCCAGAGAAAUUUGGAUUAAUACCCCGUAACAUAAUGAUGUGGCAUCACAUUAUUAUUAUAGCUUCGGCGCUUAUUGAUGGGUGUGCGGCUGAUUAGAUAGUUGGCGGGGUAACGGCCCACCAAGUCUACGAUCAGUAGCUGAUGUGAGAGCAUGAUCAGCCAAACGGGCACUGAGACACGGGUCCGACUCCUACGGGAGGCAGCAGUAAGGAAUAUUGGUCAAUGGACGCAAGUCUGAACCAGCCAUGCCGCGUGAAGGAUUAAGGUCCUCUGGAUUGUAAACUUCUUUUAUCUGGGACGAAAAAAGGCGAUUCUUCGUCACUUGACGGUACCAGAUGAAUAAGCACCGGCUAACUCCGUGCCAGCCGCCGCGGUAACAC